UGGGGAAUAUUGGACAAUGGGCGCAAGCCUGAUCCAGCCAUGCCGCGUGAGUGAUGACGGCCCUAGGGUUGUAAAGCUCUUUCACCGGUGAAGAUAAUGACGGUAACCGGAGAAGAAGCCCCGGCUAACUUCGUGCCAGCAGCCGCGGUAAUACGAAGGGGGCUAGCGUUGUUCGGAUUUACUGGGCGUAAAGCGCACGUAGGCGGACUUUUAAGUCAGGGGUGAAAUCCCGGGGCUCAACCCCGGAACUGCCUUUGAUACUGGAAGGCUUGAGGAUGGUUGGGGUGAGUGGAAUUCCGGGGGGAGAGGGAGAAUUCGUAGAUAUUCGGAGGAAAACCAGUGGUGAAGGCGGCUCAAUGGACCAGUACUGACGCUGAGGUGCGAAAGCGUGGGGAGCAAACAGG
rnacentral:rRNA from 1 species